rnacentral:rRNA from 1 species
GACGAACGCUGGCGGCGUGCUUAACACAUGCAAGUCGAGCGGAGCGGCGAACGGGUGGGUAACGCGUGAGUAACUGCCCCCCUCUCUGGGAUAACAGUUGGAAACGGCUGCUAAUACCGGAUAGUGGGGGAUGACUCGGGUCCUAUCAGCUUGUUGGUGGGGUAGUGGCCUACCAAGGCGACGACGGGUAGCCGGCCUGGGAGGGGGACCGGCCACAUUGGGAUGGGAUACGGCCGAAGCUGCUACGGGAGGCAGCAGUGCAGAAUAGUGCACAAUGGGGGGAAUCCUGAUGGAGCGACGCCGCGUGCGGGAGGACGGCCUUCGGGUAGUAAGCCGCUUUCAGCAAUGACGCGGUAGUGGCGGAAGAAGCACCGGCUAACUACGUGCCAGCAGCCGGGGUAUUC